rnacentral:rRNA from 1 species
UACGUAGGGGGCAAGCGUUGUCCGGAAUCAUUGGGCGUAAAGAGCGUGUAGGCGGCCCGAUAAGUCCGCUGUGAAAGUCCAGGGCUCAACCCUGGGAUGCCGGUGGAUACUGUCGGGCUCGAGUCCGGAAGAGGAGUGUGGAAUUCCUGGUGUAGCGGUGAAUGCGCAGAUAUCAGGAGGAACACCGGUGGCGAAGGCGGGUCUCUGGGCCGAUACUGACGCUGAGGAGCGAAAGCGUGGGGAGCGAACAGG